rnacentral:rRNA from 1 species
UACGUAGGGUGCGAGCGUUAAUCGGAAUUACUGGGCGUAAAGCGUGCGCAGGCGGUUCCUCAAGUCCGUUGUGAAAGCCCCGGGCUCAACCUGGGAAUGGCAGUGGAAACUAGGGGACUGGAAUCUGGCAGAGGGGGGUGGAAUGCCGCGUGUAGCAGUGAAAUGCGUAGAGAUGCGGCGGAACACCGAUGGCGAAGGCAGCCCCCUGGGCUGAGAUUGACGCUCAGGCACGAAAGCGUGGGGAGCAAACAGG